AAUGCUAAAAGAAUGGAAGUUUAAGAAAAAACUUUUUUAAAAAUAAAAAUUAAAUUUUUUUUAAUUUGUGCAAAACCAAUUAUUUAUAUUAAAGACAAGAAGACCCUAUGAAUUUAUGAUUAAAUAAACUAAAAAUUUUUAGUUUAUUUAAUCUUGAUUGGGGCAAUCAAAAAAUAUUAAUAACUUUUUUAAAUUUAAAUGAUCCUAUUAUUAAUAAUCUAAUGGAAUAAAUACUCUAGGGAUAACAGCGU
rnacentral:rRNA from 1 species